UACGUAGGGUGCAAGCGUUGUCCGGAAUUAUUGGGCGUAAAGAGCUCGUAGGCGGUCUGUCGCGUCGGCUGUGAAAUCCCGAGGCUCAACCUCGGGUCUGCAGUCGAUACGGGCAAACUGGAGUGUUGCAGGGGAGACUGGAAUUCCUGGUGUAGCGGUGAAAUGCGUAGAGAUCAGGAGGAACACCCGUGGCGAAGGCGGCACUCUGGGUCGGCCCUGACGCUGAGGCGCGAAAGCGUGGGGAGCGAACGGG
rnacentral:rRNA from 1 species